UUAUUUUUAUGUGACUAGAAUUAUUCAUGAUCUGUUUGUGAAUGAAUCUCGCUGUGUUCAAGAUCUUUCUUCUUCAGUUAUCAUAUCCGUUUUAUCAUCAAUUAACUAAAUUUAUUUCUCUUUUCACUCUUAUUUAUUGUUCUCGUGAUUCUCAAGUCAGAUUUUGAAUUUUAAAAAAAAAAGACAAAUUUUUGGGUGCCACAUUUGUCGCUCUUCUGGCGAACCGACGAAUCUGAUAUAUUUAAGUAUUGAGAAUUCUGUGUUUGAAAUUUGCGUUCUGUUGUUAUAUCUGUGGACAUCAAAUAAUAACAUUCAUUUGUGAUUUAAUAUUUCAUACAUAUACAUCAGGAGGCCAAACGGCAUUUACAUAAAUGUUUUUAUUUGAUGGCUACAGAGAUAUCAACAAUGUAUCAGAUUCGUCAGUUCACCAGAAAUGCGACAAUAUGUCCUUGUUGAAUAAAACAAAAAUGAUGCUGAUCCAAAACCAUUGCUCAUGUUUAGUGUUAUUGAAUGAGCAUUCGUAAACUUCGUAAAUUCCUUGAAAUAAACACAAUUAGCAAAUACAAGCUAUGGCCUUAAAAGUGCUAUUGUUACCAGUUAAUGGAACAGAAAUUUGAAUUAGAAAAAGGAUCAUCGAUUUAUUUAGUAUUUAUCACUACUUAAAUCCUAUGUAUUAUUAAAAUUGACAGAAAAAAAAAAGAAUAAAAAAUUUAAGGAACCCAGAGAUUUUGGAAUGGACAAUGGGUUAUCAAGAAUUCAAAUCUUGAAGUCAUUUUCUUAACCUAUAAAAACCUCACAAAGAAAACUAACUAAAGAGGUUUACUUUGAUAAUUUUACAAUAUGGACAAGCUGUACUUGAGUUAAUCUUGUGGAAUAAUAUAUAACACAUUAUGAAUUUACGACCCUCAGGUUUUUAAAAAGAUCAGAAAAAUCAAAAAAAUUCCAAAUACAUUUUCUGAUGAUUUCACUGAACAACAUGAUACAUUAGAUAAUUAGUGUGAAUUCUUGAAUACUCUUCUUUAGUGGUCGCUAGUAUAUUCAUCCUCACAAACCAAGGCUGGUCAAUACUUAAACAUACAUUAUGCAAGAGCUAAAUCUAACAAUUGCAGGUCUUUCUUUAGGCCUGAAAUGUGAUCUAAAUUAUUAAUUAGACAUUAAUUAACUUAUCCAGACCAUAAUCAACUCUUGAUGUCAUCGCUAGCCUGUGAUGUUUACUGGAUUAGAACCCAGUCUGCUGCAGCUGGUUAAAUCAAAAGGUGGAUAAUCGAGACUAUGUAUUUUUAUCAUACUGACUUUAGUAAUAAUGAUCGAGGCUAGGUCGAAAAUUCAAUCGCUAAAAUCUUGGUUCAGAGUUGAUCAAUUUGACAGAAAUUUUCAACAUAUUCUCUUUACGUUAUCUAUUCUUUAACUAUUAUAGCGAGAACUGCCAACUCUUUAUCUAAUCUCCCAUAAUGCCCCUUUAAAAUGUUGCUUCCUUUUUGUAUGCUCGCAUGGAAAUGUGGUCGUAUAUAGCCGUCGUUCCCUUCCGUCCAUCCUCUACAAUUGCUUGGGACAGAACAAAAAUGUCCCAACAAAAAUCGAAUGAAUUGUCCCCGAGCUCCGAUAUAAGUUUUGAACAGCCAUAGUUUUGUGAGGGUUUUGGUUUAGUCGACUCCCUAUUUUCUUCAGGGUAAUAAAUGCUUUUUAUGAUUCAACGCCCAUAAAUUUUCCGACCUUUUACUUAAAAAUUAAAUUUCAAACUCAAAUUAUAGGUAAUAAAAUAUGUUAAUAAUAUUUUCCAAAAGUUCCAAACAGCAUUUUUUAGAUAUUUCUUAUUUAUAUAACAGUCAAUUUAAAAAAUACUAUGAUAAGUUUCAGCAUAUUUUUUUUUUAUAUGUUCAGAAAGAUUCACUUUUCAAAAUAUGAUGUAAUAGAUACAUUGAAAUAAUUUUCAAUAAUACUAUAAGUUUCAGCAUUUUUUUUUUUCAUUUCAUUUAAGAAAGAUCCGCUUAUGAAAAUACAAGUUAAUUUUUAAAAAAAGAAAAGUUGAAAUAAUUUUAGUUUUAUGUCCGUAAAAAAUAACUUUGAAGUGAGGAGGUUGUGGUCUAUUUCCUCUUGAUUUCGUAUCAUUCCACAUGGCAUGUAUAAUUCUGUAUUUAUUCUCUUCGUUAAAUCUGGCCUCUUGUUUUACCCUAUUUUUUUAUAUUUGCAGUAUUUGAAUUUCCCAGGCCUCCGGUUCACAACACAUUCCCAGAUUUAAGUUAAGAAUUUACUCAACUUUUAAUCACUGUUUAUGAGAAAUAUCUUUGAUGAAGAAACACAAAACUUUUGCACAUAGUUUUUUAUUGAUGUAUUUGAUACAUUAAAACAACAAAAGUUUUAUAAAGGACUACAUUUUAGUUAAAAUAAGGCAAACAAUUUUGCGUAAAUUCUUAACUCAAGUCUGAGAAUGCUUUGUGAACUUGGGGACAGAACUUGGAUACAGAAACGAACGGAUAUAUCUGUAUUUGAUAGAGUAGAUAUUUUAUACUAUUAAUAUUAAUGAAUGAAUUAAACAAGAGAGCUAGAAUAUAUCUUUUUAUUAUAUUAUGAUUAUCAUCAAUUAUCUAUUAUAGUCGAUAUAAAUAUGGCAUAGUUUGUAGUCUUGGUUUACUAGAUGUUUUGAUAUCCAAAUAUACCAAAUAUGUCUGGAUAGAUGUGACUGCAUAAUUUGUAAUCUUGGUCUAACAGGUCUUUUGAUAACCACUAUUAUUAAUGAUUUCUGGAUAGAUCAAACUGCAUAAUAUAUAGUCUUCGUCUAACACGUCUUUUGAUAAAUGCUAUUAUUAAUGAUUUCUGGAUAGAUCAGACUACAUAAUUUGUAGUCUUGGUCUAUCGGAUGUUUUUGAUAUACAUUAGUGUCAUACUAAAGAUGUCUGGUUACAUGAGACUGCAUAAAUUUGUAGUCUUGGUCUAACAAUAACCAUUAUUAUUAAUGUCUGGUUUGAUUGAGACUAGGUAGUUUGUUAUUUCAAAAUCUAGUCCUACUAGUGUUGGUUCUAUAAAUAAUAUAUAUUUUUUUUUUAUCCGAUCUUUGUGAAUGACGUUUUCUGUGUUAAAUAACAGUUCUAUGUAUUUUUAUUACAUGUUAGUUGUAUAUCAUAUAUUAUUAUUAUUAUUAUUAUUAUUAUCAAUAACCCUUACCCUAACCCCUGCUAUUUCUCGUGUUCUACAGUUAAACAAAUGAAGACAACUAAUUUUAGGGCCAUUUAGGACAGGUCAAAUGGGGCUCAAAGGUUUAAGGAUGGGCUCCAAAUUGUUAUUAUUAUUAUCAUCUACAACCCUUACCCUAACCCCCUGCUAUUUCUCGUGUUCUACAGUUAAACAAAUUUUUAGGGCUUUUAGGACAGGUCAGAUGGGGCUCAAAGGUUUAAGGAUGGGCUCCCACUUGUUAUUGAUAUCUAUAUGGCCCUAACCCUUUCUAUUUCUCGUGUGCUACAGUUAAAUAUUAUGUACUGCAAAACAAAUGAAGACAACUACUAAUUUUAGGGCCAUUUUUGAGGGGGCAAAUAGGGCUCAAAGGUUUAUUAUGUACUUCAAACGAAUGAAGACAAUUAAUUUAAGGGUCAUUUAAGACGAGGCAAAUGUGACUGAAAUGUUUAAAAUCCUCCCCCUCCCCAAUCCAAAGGACUUAAUAAAUUCGAAAAUUGAUCGAAGGUAGUCAAUUUUCCCCAUUUCUGAUUGAUUCUAAGAUACAAAUAUUGCUUCUUGUGGCAUCCUGCAAACGAGAACGCUUUUAGGUCUUGGAAGGCCAAGCUGUAUAUAUUGCACCGACCUGCUGAAAUAAAUGAUAGAAAGAUGUAAACACCCUGAAUUAAAUGUUAACACGGACAGGAAAGAAGCAAAAACUGGGGUAAAGAAAAAAAACAUAAAACAAAUAUAUAAAACCCCAGAUUUUAAUAGUAAGGACAUGGCAUAAUACAAGUAACCCAUACCAUAAAAUAUCUCCAUUAUCUUCGGCCCAGUUUGUCCAUUGAAAGAUUGGCAUUAAUUACAUUUAUUGCCAUAUACCUAAUCCAUCGCUUAAAAUAUGCCAAUUGUCUCAAGCCCUAUUUGCCCCUUAAAAGAUGUAUAAUCCAUCGCCUAAAAUAUGUCAUUAUUCUGGACCCUGUUACCUCCUAAAAUUAAUAACAUUUAUUGGCGUAUGUAUAACCCAUCACAUAAAAUAUGCCCAUUAUCUUGAACCCUAUUUGACCCUUAAAAGAUGCGUAACCCAUCGCUUAAAAUAUGUCAUUAUCCUGGGCCCUGUUUACCUACAGUCAUUCAGAAUGGAUAUUACACUAUCUCAUACUUAGUAAACAUGUCAAGCUGAUCAAAACACAGAUCUUAUUCCGUUUCGUUUUUUAUAGUUCAAAAUUUCGUUUUAUUGUUCUUCACAACACUAGGAUCUAGAAGAGUUGUUAUAUAACCUGCAUUUUGGUUGUUACAGCCAGUUCUUGGCCUACUGUGCACCGGACUGUGAGUAAACCACUAGAAAAGUCAACACUGGUUGGUUAAUCAAAUGUCUGACGUCAUACGGUCAAAGGCCGCUUGUAUGACCCCACUACAACCAGUCAGCAACCAGUCAGAUCUUCAUACAGUGUAGGCCAUCGAAAGUAUAAAAAAUCGAAACGAAAUAUAGAUCUAUAUUUUAACCAGAUUGUAGGAAUACACCAUGUCAACUCUGCUACCAUAUCAUAUUUUUUUACUUUUUUUUACAUCUGCAUGUGUUUUAUUAAAUAUUGAAUAUUAUUUUUUUCGUAUUAUUAGCAGUGGUACGAUUUGUACUUCUCCCAAAAAAAAAUGUUAAGGUGUACAAUUUCCUCAAAAUUAAUUUUAAUCCAAAAGUCAUAAUCGAUUCUUAUUAUAAGCAUGAUAUUUAUAAUAUACUCAGUGGUUGCUAUGGUAAUCUGUGACACUGCUGUUUAUUUCUAUCAAUGAUAAUACAUCGACUUGAUCACCAACUCGUUACGGAAUUGAGAGGAAAAUUUGGGGUCGCUUAAAUCUUAAAGGUGAUUUGUCUGCAAUAUUUUAGCCACAUUGAAUAAUUUAACUUUCUGUGACGUUUUUCUCUAAAGUAAGGUACCAGGAUGGAUUAAGCCGUAAGAUAUUUCAUAUUUGAGCGAUAAUGAAAAUGAUGAUGAUGAAUCAAGCCGUUAAGUAUUUGCGAGAUGUUUGUUACCUGUGAUAGCAAAAUAAGUUAGAGGUCUCUUGCAAAAUGAACAGGAGUAUUAAACAAUGACAUGUGACCUCCGACUCAUUUUAGCGUGGUAUCAAGUCUAUGUUUUAUUUUGGUUUAAAACACUUAUUAUUACAGAAAGCUGUUGUAUGUUGUUUGGUGUUUUCUUGUUAAUAUAAAUACACGUUGUUGUUUCCCAUUUUAUAUAAAUAACGUAACAUAUAUGUGGUCAUAAUUCUGUGCAUAGUUUUAAAAUAACAUUAUAAAAAGCAUAUAAAUGUUGUAGUUUGGUUUCGUUUUUUGAUGAAAAUUAUUUCCCAGCAUUUUAUCUGCUCAAUUAAAUGUGAUAUACAACACUUCUCUCGAAUUUUAAUUAAAGAUAAUUAAUUAAUUAAUGUUCUAUUAUUAAUUAACCGGGCACUUGCUUCUUCUAGCUGACCAUUUCAUUAUGUUGCACCAUGAAAUUUUUGGAUCAGGAACCAGUCCGAGAUCACUACACUUCUUGUUGUUAUUUAAGUGGUCAGGGGUGGGGGGGGGCACUCUUCGCAAAAAGUCUAGGCUUGUCCAAUUCAUGUACAAUUGUUUGCUUGUUUUUUGGACAAUUGCGUAUUGAUUAUCUGAAUUUGAUUUUUGAUAUGACGUUACAAUUCUAAGAUAGCGGCAAUGACAUCGGGGUUCAGUUCCUGGUCCAUGGAGUACUAUCUGGAUAUUGUUAAAUGAUUAGUUCUCUUUGAUGUCGGAAAAACUUGUCUCAUCACCAAUGGAAACAUGAAAGUUAAAAAAGUGUAGCUCGUGGAAUUCUUUGUAAAUAGGAACUGUGAAAACCUUAAAAUGUUAUUUCUUCCAUUUGAAAUCUGUUAAAACAUAAUUCAAAUCUUUGUAGAUUGAUCAUUUCAGUACUGUAUAUUCAAUCUCGCAAAUUUUUACAGCUUUCGUCAAAGCAUAAGUUUAAAUACUCCGUAAUCAAAUCGUCAUGAUGUGAAGUUCUACAUCUAGACAAACUUUCAAUAUGUCCUGCCAAGUUUUUCCUGGUGUAAUGUAACAAGUUCAUAAGUUUUUCUAGCAUAAUGUGGUAAAAACCAGUAAAUAAAAUAAUUUUAUUCUUUUUGUUAAGCGUUCAUUCUAGUACAUAAUGUUACAGUGUGUAUUUAUUUUAAAUAUUAGAAAAUAUAAGAAUAUUUAUAUAUGUGUUUCUCGCCUCUCACUUCUUCAGUUUUGUGGGAUUUUCAGUAAGGCAGUAUGUAUUUAAUAGAUAGUUCAGUAAUUUUCCUUUUAAGCUGUGGUCAAAGGGGAGAUAAUAGAAACUGGUGCAGUAGUUAUCUCCCCUUAGAUGUUAAAGUGGAGAUCACUUGGCAGACCUCGGCAGAUUCCGUUACUCUACAUCUAGCCUCGGCUGUAUGACGUUAAGUGAUAUGUACUUACACCUAUACAAUUGUGAUGCGGCACCAGUUUACUUAUUAGGAAAACUUGCCACUUUUAUUUGUAUGAUAAAACAUUCUUUGAAAGGCAUCAUCAUGGGCAACGCCGUUGGUAAUCCAGGAACUUGAAAGUAGUUCCAAUGGCGGACUACAUCAUACAGAAGAGGCUAGAUGUAGGGUACUGAAAUCUGCUGAGGUUUGCCGAGUGACUGGAGAUAAUAUAAACUUGAAUAGUGGUUACAUUCAUGUGGACACCAAAGGGGAGAUAAUAUAAACAGGAGCUAUGGUUACCUCCCUUGGAUAUCAAAGGGGAGAUAAUAUUAACAGGAGCAGUAGUUACCUCCCCUUAGACCUUUUUAUAUAUUAUCCAAUUUGUUUCAUUCGAUGUGGAAAUGUACGACUAUAUAUUUCUAUGAUAAAUACUCAUGGUUGGUGAACAGUUAAGAUCAUGUGAUUAAAUGAAUUAUGUUUAUUUUUAAAACUAAAUAUAUUCGUUAAGUUAGGGUAAUUGUGAGUCAAAAGGGCUGCCGUAAAAAUCAAAGUUAAAUUUGUCUAUUUACAUUAGCACUGCCUGUUUAAGAGCCAGUUAAAAGUGAAACAAUAAUUACAUGAGCUAUUGGUAUUUUUUUUAUUUUUUUUUAUUAAAUUGUCUUUCCAUGUAACCAUGUAUAUUGAAAUAUUUGUUUAAAUGAGAAAAAUGGCGAAUUACCUGCCCCUGCUCAGAACACCUGUCAGUGGGCUUAAUCUUUUUGUUAAGGCCAGCUCAAUUUUUGUCAAGGUCGCUGAGAUGUAAACAAGAUUAGAGCACGUGAUUGUUGGCAUGAUUGUUGGUUAGGGUAAACAUUGGGGCUAGGUCCAGGGUUAGGGUUGGGAUUAGCGCUAGCCCUGUUUAAAUCUCUUGACCCGUGACGAAAAAUUGAGCUGGCCUUAUCAUUUAGCACUAACCCCCUGUCAGCACCAGCCCCCAACACCAGACAGCACUAGCCAUGACUUCGUAGUGUAGCCUAUCGUGACAAAUUUCAUCAUAAUUAGCUGCGAAAUGAUUUUGACCUGUGAUAACUAGUGGUCACAACAAAUGUUGAUAUACUAUUCGAAUUUAAAUGCUAUUUGAAUAUUCUAUUCUAUUGAAAUUAUCCAUUUUUGGAUUGCUCCUGGGUGCAUUUCCAGAUUUCUAGAAUAAAUCUGUACAAAUUAAUUUCUUUUCCUUUAUCUGUUUGAAUAUUAAUAAAUUUCACUGAAUUAACAUUCAAAAAUAUUACAUAGAAGAAAAAACAACAAAAAAGAUCAAAUUUCCAUUAUUUUUGAUAGACAUUGAAUAACAAAUACCAAAAUAAAAAUCAUUUGAAUAACAAAUACCAAAAUAAAAAUCAGUUUGAAUAAGCGUAAAAUAAAUAUCUGAAUUCAAAUCUUGAAUAUUGGUAUGAGCACUAGUGACGACAAAACCUAACGUGUGGAUUGCACAAAUAAAUUGACGAAAAACAAGGUUAUUGUCAUGGUGCAUAAAUAAAUAAAUACACCUCAGUUAUUCCAGUACAAAGGGCAGGUAACUCGUUCAUUUCUCCUAAUGGCUAAAAAUGGUCAUUUUAAUGUGAUGUAAGUUUGUUUUGUUUUUUUCAUUUUUUUUCCCCCGCGGUAAAUUUGAUAUAGUGUGAGAAUUCUUAUAGACGUGUUUUGUUAUAUAAGUGUUUUUAUUCAAAAAAAUUUUUUUUUUUCAAUUUCAAUUGUCACAAUAUACCCAUUUCCACUAUUGAAACACAUUUUCAUUUUAAACAAAAAAAGCCAUUGCUAAAAUUUUCUUCGAAAUAAAUUUUUCACGAAUUA